CCUACGGGUGGCAGCAGUGAGGAAUAUUGGUCAAUGGGCGCGAGCCUGAACCAGCCAAGCAGCGUGAAGGAUGACUGCUCUACGGGUUGUAACCUUCUUUUAUAAAGGAAUAAAGUGAGCCAUGUGUGCCUUUUUGUAUGUACUUUACGAAUAAGGAUCGGCCAACUCCGUGCCAGCAGCCGCGGUAAUACGGAGGAUCCGAGCGUUAUCCGGAUUUAUUGGGUUUAAAGGGAGCGUAGAUGGGUUGUUAAGUCAGUUGUGAAAGUUUGCGGCUCAACCGUCAAAUUGCAAUUGAUACUGACAGUCUUGAGUACAGUUGAGGUAGGCGGAAUUCGUGGUGUAGCGGUGAAAUGCGUAGAUAUCACGAAGAACUCCGAUUGCGAAGGCAGCUUACUAAACUGCCACUGACAUUGAUGCUCGAAAGUGUGGGUAUCAAACAGGAUUAGAUACCCUGGUAGUC
rnacentral:rRNA from 1 species